AAAUUUAUAGUAAAAGGAAAAUCUGUUGAUUUAAAAAAUCGUGAGGGUUCAAGUCCCUCUAUCCCCA
rnacentral:tRNA from 1 species